rnacentral:rRNA from 1 species
CGCGUAGGCGGCUUGGCAAGUCAGAUGUGAAAGCCCCGGGCUUAACUCGGGAAUUGCAUCUGAAACUGCUUUGCUUGAGUCCUGGAGGGGAUAGUGGAAUUCCCAGUGUAGCGGUGAAAUGCGUAGAUAUUGGGAGGAACACCUGCGGCGAAGGCGGCUAUCUGGACAGUGACUGACGCUGAUGCGCGAAAGCUAGGGGAGCGAACG